AGAGUUUGAUCCUGGCUCAGGACGAACGCUGGCGGCGUGCCUAAUACAUGCAAGUAGAACGCUGAAGAGAGGAGCUUGCUCUUCUUGAAUGAGUUGCGAACGGGUGAGUAACGCGUAGGUAACCUGCCUUGUAGCGGGGGAUAACUAUUGGAAACGAUAGCUAAUACCGCAUAACAAUGGUGACACAUGUCAUUAUUUGAAAGGGGCAAUUGCUCCACUACAAGAUGGACCUGCGUUGUAUUAGCUAGUAGGUGAGGUAACGGCUCACCUAGGCGACGAUACAUAGCCGACCUGAGAGGGUGAUCGGCCACACUGGGACUGAGACACGGCCCAGACUCCUACGGGAGGCAGCAGUAGGGAAUCUUCGGCAAUGGGGGCAACCCUGACCGAGCAACGCCGCGUGAGUGAAGAAGGUUUUCGGAUCGUAAAGCUCUGUUGUAAGUCAAGAACGAGUGUGAGAGUGGAAAGUUCACACUGUGACGGUAGCUUACCAGAAAGGGACGGCUAACUACGUGCCAGCAGCCGCGGUAAUACGUAGGUCCCGAGCGUUGUCCGGAUUUAUUGGGCGUAAAGCGAGCGCAGGCGGUUUGAUAAGUCUGAAGUUAAAGGCUGUGGCUCAACCAUAGUUCGCUUUGGAAACUGUCAAACUUGAGUGCAGAAGGGGAGAGUGGAAUUCCAUGUGUAGCGGUGAAAUGCGUAGAUAUAUGGAGGAACACCGGUGGCGAAAGCGGCUCUCUGGUCUGUAACUGACGCUGAGGCUCGAAAGCGUGGGGAGCGAACAGGAUUAGAUACCCUGGUAGUCCACGCCGUAAACGAUGAGUGCUAGGUGUUGGAUCCUUUCCGGGAUUCAGUGCCGCAGCUAACGCAUUAAGCACUCCGCCUGGGGAGUACGACCGCAAGGUUGAAACUCAAAGGAAUUGACGGGGGCCCGCACAAGCGGUGGAGCAUGUGGUUUAAUUCGAAGCAACGCGAAGAACCUUACCAGGUCUUGACAUCCCGAUGCUAUUUCUAGAGAUAGAAAGUUACUUCGGUACAUCGGUGACAGGUGGUGCAUGGUUGUCGUCAGCUCGUGUCGUGAGAUGUUGGGUUAAGUCCCGCAACGAGCGCAACCCCUAUUGUUAGUUGCCAUCAUUCAGUUGGGCACUCUAGCGAGACUGCCGGUAAUAAACCGGAGGAAGGUGGGGAUGACGUCAAAUCAUCAUGCCCCUUAUGACCUGGGCUACACACGUGCUACAAUGGUUGGUACAACGAGUUGCGAGUCGGUGACGGCAAGCUAAUCUCUUAAAGCCAAUCUCAGUUCGGAUUGUAGGCUGCAACUCGCCUACAUGAAGUCGGAAUCGCUAGUAAUCGCGGAUCAGCACGCCGCGGUGAAUACGUUCCCGGGCCUUGUACACACCGCCCGUCACACCACGAGAGUUUGUAACACCCGAAGUCGGUGAGGUAACCUUUUGGAGCCAGCCGCCUAAGGUGGGAUAGAUGAUUGGGGUGAAGUCGUAACAAGGUAGCCGUAUCGGAAGGUGCGGCUGGAUCACCUCCUUU
rnacentral:rRNA from 1 species